AUGGCCACCAAGCUGCUCGCGCUCGCCGCGUCCGCGGCCGUGCUGCUGGCCCUGGCCUUGCCGGCGCCGGCGUCGGGGCAGGCCGCGCCGGCGGCGCCGUCGUGCACGGCGUCGCUCGUCUCCAGCUUCACGCCGUGCCUCAGCUACAUCACCAACGGCAACAGCUCGUCGCCGACGGUGGGCUGCUGCCGGUCCCUGUCGGCACUGGUGAACGCCAGCACGGGCUGCGCGUGCCUCCUCCUCACCGGCAGCGUGCCGCUCGGCGGCGUCCCGAUCAACCGGACGCUCGCCGUCACCCUGCCCAGGGCAUGCAACUCCAUGGCCGUCCCGCUUCAAUGCAAAGAUGCGUCGGCGCAGCUCCCGGCUCCGGCUCCGGGCCCCGUCGCGGCCUCGGCCUCUCCCGCCAUGCCCCCGCUGCGUAAGAAACUCAACUCGCCCCACCAACUUUCUCUUCUUAUGUCGCUGUUGAUUGCCACUGAUGAUUCUGUCAAAUUUGCAGCCCCGGUGGCGCCCGAGUCGCCGCCGGCGGGAACCACCGUGGCGGUGCCACCAACGAGCCAGAGCCAGGGGCAGACGAGGCCGCAGGUGGCGCCCAGCUCUGCCUGGAGAGACGGUGCUCAUGUGCCUGAGUUGUUCGCAGUGAUCCUCGCAGUUGGAGCCAUGCUGGUUUGA
rnacentral:rRNA from 1 species